rnacentral:misc_RNA from 1 species
GUGAGAACGCGUUCCGCGGCAGCAGCGUCAUCGUCAUCGUCAUCAUCGACGUCGAAGAGUAAUCCGUCAAAAAUGGCGUGCGAAAAAGCUGCCAGGCGUCUCAGGGCACUUUUAUUCAAAGCAUCGAGGCUCGGAGUUCCAACGAGCGACGUCGCUUCCCUACCAUCGGCUAAAAAGUUGAUCCCUCAGAGAGAUCACGGAUGGAAAAUCGCCGUAUUUCUGAUCCUAAUGUUCGGGGGAGGCGUUAUUGUCGCACUGAUAUGUACAACGAGAAGAGGAUGCUCGAGGAUCGAAGAUAUCAAUCUGGCGACCUAGCCUCGUCGAACUGGGAAUCUACACGAUGCACCGGUUUAGAUCGACGGACGUUAUCGGAGAAAAGAAGAACCGAUCUUACCGGGUCGCCACGCUCGCUCAGAUAUUCUUUUCUUCGUUCAAUUUUCUUUUUAUUAUUUGAAAAAUAAUUAUUUUACCAUCACGAUGUGUAUGAAUCGAAGUAAACUUUGAAUUGUAUAAUAUUGGCGAAUUAUAAAUUAUAGUUAUGACGUAAUAAAGUUGUUGCCAACAACUAAAAUACGAGAAUUUGAAAUCAGUUUGAAAUUCUGCACUGGACAGCUACGCGUAAGCUAUACCCCGAUUUUCUCGUUUCAUUUUUUCUUCGGAAAAUGAAGAGAUCGUGAGGUUUUCCUGUGGUCAGAUGAGAUAGGAGAAUUUUCUCAACUCACGCGUGAUAAACUUUGCUCGAAAAAUAGCCCUGUGUAUACGUACUUUGUGUUUCACCAUCAAUUUUCCGUCGACUUCGAUCGCCUGGAAGCCUGAGAAAUAAAUUUCAUGCAUUUACUUAUGAAUGUAUAGUUAUAUAAAUAAAUCUAGAUCAUCCGCAUUAUGUAAUUAAUACAAGUAUUAUUAAUGUAAUAUCGAUAACUACCGCAUAACUACCACACGAGAGUACAGAAAAUAAUAAUAAUAACAAUUAUAUUAUAACGAUAAAUUAACGAGCGUCUUAGCUCCGUGUAAUACAUACAUAAUGGAGAUUUAGUGAUAUUCGAUUAAUCGAUCAAGUGUAAAACAAAUUUAUAAGCGAUAGAUAUACCGACAUUAUGUAAAUUGAUAAAUUAUUUUGUAAAUACGUGUCGAAUAAUUUAUAAUCGAUUGUACUUACCGAACUAAAAAUCUUUUGUUAUUUAUAACAUGUGCGUGGGUUGCAGGUGUUUGGAAAAAUAGCGUUUGUAUAUAUGAAUAAAUAAAUAAAUCAAUUCAUCAAUUUUUAAUUGUCUGUAAAUCUGGGUUCCAACGUUUGUUG